AUGACAUACACUCUGUCUUUCCUUCUACAGGUGUCCACUCAGGUCCAGCUGCAACAGUCUGGGCCUGAGCUGGUAAAGCCUGGGGCCUCAGUGAAGAUUUCCUGCAAGGCUUCUGGCUACACAUUCACUGACUAUGAGAUGUCCUGGGUGAAGCAGAGUCAUGGAAAGAGCCUUGAGUGGAUUGGAGCUAUUAAUGCUUAUGGUGGUACUGGUUACAAUGAAAAAUUCAAGGGCAAGGCCACACUGACUGUAGACCAAUCCUCCAGCACUGCCUAUAUGGAGCUUAACAGAUUGGCAUCUGAAGACUCUGCAGUCUAUUACUGCUCAAGACACAGUGUUGCAACCACAUCCUGA